rnacentral:rRNA from 1 species
GUCUACGGCCAUACUACCCUGAACGCGCCCGGUCUUGUCUGAUCUCGGAAGCUAAGCAGGGUCGGGCCUGGUUAGUACUUGGAUGGGAGACCACCUGGGAAUACCGGGUGCUGUAGCCU